rnacentral:pre_miRNA from 1 species
CCCCAGAUACAAUGGACAAUAUGCUAUUAUAAUUGUGUGGCAUUGUCCUUGCUGUUUGGAGAU